rnacentral:rRNA from 1 species
GAUGAACGCUAGCGGCAGGCUUAACACAUGCAAGUCGAGGGGCAGCGUGAUGAAGUAGCAAUACGGAUUUGACGGCGACCGGCGCACGGGUGCGUAACGCGUAUGUAACCUACCUUUAACAGGGGGAUAACACUGAGAAAUUGGUACUAAUACCCCAUAACACUUUGAAGGGCAUCCUUUAGAGUUGAAAGUUCCGGCGGUUAAAGAUGGACAUGCGUUGUAUUAGCUAGAUGGUGAGGUAACGGCUCACCAUGGCGACGAUACAUAGGGGGACUGAGAGGUUAACCCCCCACACUGGUACUGAGACACGGACCAGACUCCUACGGGAGGCAGCAGUGAGGAAUAUUGGUCAAUGGACGCAAGUCUGAACCAGCCAUGCCGCGUGCAGGAAGACGGCUCUAUGAGUUGUAAACUGCUUUUGUACAAGGGUAAACCCUGGGACGUGUCCCAGGCUGAAAUUACUGUACGAAUAAGGAUCGGCUAACUCCGUGCCAGCCGCCGCGGUAACAC